ACUCCCUUCACGCUCGGAAAGAGCAUGUAGUGAAUGGUUGGGGGACUGUCCAACAGCUUGGACACUAACCAGGCGACGGCUUUGCCUGAGUUGCGGGACCUACACAUUGUUAGGUGUGCUUGUCCCCCCUUUACGUUCAGAGACUUUGGAGCGGUGAAACCCAUAGUCCCCGCGGGCUAUAGUGCCGCGGACCCCUAUAGGACAGCCCAGGUUCCACUGGGCGCGGUUCAUACGAAGAAAUUCGGGGCACUGGCGCGGGCCUACCGGAGCAUUCGCACUCAAAUCGUCUAUGUGGGCACUGUUGCCACCGCAUGCGGGAGUGCGGCACUAUCGAUAUCUGCCAGGUUGAAAAAGUGGGGACCUACGUGCUUGUCCUAGGAGGGACCGACUGGGCAAGCACAUGAUUGAACGGGAAUGAAUCUUUUUCAGCUGAAUCUUGCUUAGCCCGGCUGUUGGUUCUUGCUAGUAUUGCGACGGGAGUCUGAGGUUUAAGUCUCCAGAGUUAAUGAGCAAGCACGUGUAUGAUUUGGUCAGGGUGUAGUAACCCUCCGUUAAAUUCCCUAGGCAGGUUAUUUCCCGGGGCUUACCUGAUGUGCAGUAUGUAACACAGAAAAGGGCGUCUAUCGUACCGCCGGCGUGAUCUAACUGGCGUGUCCGUUUUGAGGAUAUCCGACCGACCGCGCCGGCAUUCGUCUCUUUGUUUGCCCCGCUUUUGUCGCCGUAUGCUUGAUGCUGAGGCUAGGGUUCGUCCCUGAGAGCCGAGGUUAAGGAAAUUGAAUGAAGGCGAGUCAACGGCGGGAGUAAACUAUGACCCUUCUUAAGUAGCCAAAUGCCUUCGUCAUCUAAUUAGUGACGCGCUUAUGAAUGGAUGAACGAGUAUUCCCACUGUCCCUACCUUACUAUCUACGAAACCACAGCCAAGGGAACGGCUUGGCAGAUCAGCGGGGAAAGAAGACCCUGUUGAGCUUGACUCUAGUCUGCACUGUGAAGAGACAUGAGAGGUGGUUAGAAUAAGUGGGAAGGCCUCGGCCGCCGGUGAAAUACCACUACUCUUAUUCGUUUUUCACUUACCCCGCGUUUGAGGCGGGGAGGCGAGCCCCGAGCUGGCUCUCGCUUCUUGGCUUCAAGCCACCCGGCUCGCGUCGGGUGCGGACCCGCUCCGGGGACAGUGGCAGGUGGGGAGUUUGACUGGGGCGGUACCACCUGUCAAACGUAACGCAGGUGUCCUAAAGGCAAAAGCUUCAAGGGAGGACAGAAACCUCCCGUGGAGAAGAAGGGCAAAAGCUCGCUUUCUUGAUUUUCAGUAUGAAUACAGACGUUGAAAGCGGGGCCUCACGAUCCUUCUGACUUUUUUGGGUUUUAAAGCAGGAGGUGUCGAAAAAGUUACCACAGGGAUAACUGGCUGUGUGGCGGCCAAGCUUCGAUAGCUUACUCCGUACAUGCGCUUUUUUGAAGCUCCUUCUACUCAGGAGUGUUCGCUCUUCCUAUCAUUGUGAUAAUGCAAGUGGUAUAGUGUUUCAGCUCUCUAUCGCGUACAUUGGAGUAGCUUCUCGUUGCGUACGUCCCACGUCUUAGUUGACUCGCGACGAAUUAGAAGGGAACAGCGUGCUGGCGUUUGAAACAUUUGGCCACUCGGUCGUCUGGGACAGGGUGGCUGUGUGUGUGUACCCAGUCCUUUGGAUAUAUCGUCUCAUUGGAUCUUCCUGCGACCCCCUGGUGUUGUGUAAGUGUCCUUGCAAGUUUAGUAAUGCGCACUGGCUUCAAGUUUACGAGAGGAAACCGCUCGAUGCUCUUACGAUAGCAUAUCUAUGACAUAUGUGACUAUGUUUGUAGGGAGCCUAGAUGAGGCUGGCUGAUUCACAGCUCUACCUGAUGGGGGAUUGUCCUUGUGACGUGCGGGCCUUCUACAGUCAGGAGAUCUCGCCAGCUCUCCUCCGCUGUAACCUCAGGGCUGUGAUGUUAGAGGUACCGCUGACUCACUGUGCUUCUCAGCACUGUGUGCAUCUUCCUG
rnacentral:rRNA from 1 species